rnacentral:rRNA from 2 species
CCGAACCGACUAAUGUUGAAAAAUUAGCGGAUGACCUGUGGCUGGGGGUGAAAGGCCAAUCAAACCGGGAGAUAGCUGGUUCUCCCCGAAAGCUAUUUAGGUAGCGCCUCGUGAAUUCAUCUCCGGGGGUAGAGCACUGUUUCGGCUAGGGGGCCAUCCCGGCUUACCAACCCGAUGCAAACUGCGAAUACCGGAGAAUGUUAUCACGGGAGACACACGGCGGGUGCUAACGUCCGUCGUGAAGAGGGAAACAACCCAGACCGCCAGCUAAGGUCCCAAAGUCAUGGUUAAGUGGGAAACGAUGUGGGAAGGCCCAGACAGCCAGGAUGUUGGCUUAGAAGCAGCCAUCAUUUAAAGAAAGCGUAAUAGCUCACUGGUCGAGUCGGCCUGCGCGGAAGAUGUAACGGGGCUAAACCAUGCACCGAAGCUGCGGCAGCGACACUGUGUGUUGUUGGGUAGGGGAGCGUUC